rnacentral:rRNA from 1 species
CACCCUACGGGACGCAGCAGUGAGGAAUAUUGGUCAAUGGGCGGAAGCCUGAACCAGCCAAGUCGCGUGAGGGAAUAAGGCACUAAGGGUCGUAAGCCUCUUUUGCCGGGGAGCAAGGGCCGGGACGAGUCCCGGUCCGGAGAGUACCCGGAGAAAAAGCAUCGGCUAACUCCGUGCCAGCAGCCGCGGUAAUACGGAGGUUGCGGGGGUUAUCCGGAUUACUUGGGUUAAAAG